rnacentral:rRNA from 1 species
UACAGAGGUCCCAAGCGUUGUUCGGAAUUACUGGGCGUAAAGCGCGCGCAGGCGGCUAUCCAAGUCAGUGGUGAAAGCCCGGAGCUCAACUCCGGAACUGCCAUUGAAACUGUUUAGCUUGAGGAUGAGAGAGGUGAGUGGAAUUCCCAGUGUAGAGGUGAAAUUCGUAGAUAUUGGGAAGAACACCGGUGGCGAAGGCGGCUCACUGGCUCAUUACUGACGCUCAGGCGCGAUAGCGUGGGGAUCGAACAGG